AACGCAUCUUGCGCUCCCUGGUUAUUCCGAGGAGCAUGUCUGUUUGAGUGUCGUGUAACCUCUCAAUCUCUUGCUUUCUGGCUUCAUUGCCUGGAUCGCAAGUUGUAUUGGAUCGUGACCUUUGUUGCCGUCUUCUCUUUUGAGGACAGCUGGGCCGAAAUGCAGACAAGUGAUGAACUCCAGCUAGUGCUGAUCGGCUUGAACUCGACGUUGUAAUCUACCCUCGUUGAGCUACGAUCUUCUGCUACGCUUUGGAUCGCACUUUGAGACACCCCAUUAUUAUCUCAUAGCGAUAUGAGCAAUUUUGACCUCAAAUCAGGCAGGACUACCCGCUGAGCUUAA
rnacentral:misc_RNA from 1 species